GCUGUGGGGUGAUUACAGCCGGGGUCACUGAGGGGACAUCGCUGUGGGGUGACCACGGCCCAGAUGACCACGGGGGCAUUGCUGUGGGGUGGCCAUGGCCGGGGUGACCAGGGGACAUCGCUGUGAGGUGACCACAGCCCAGAUGACCACCAGGACAUCGCUGUGGGGUGACCACGACCACGGGGCCGUUGGCCACGGGGCCACCCCCAGCGCUCAGGGUCCCCUCAGUGUCCCCGGAUGUCCCCAGGCACUUGGGAUCCUGCGGGGAGGGCCGCGGGGACGCUGCAGCUCCGGGAACGGGGCGGGAAUCGUCAAAAUCCCAACGAAAUCGGUGCCGGCCCCUUGGAAAAUCCAUCCCGGGGGUCUCUGGGUGCCAGCGGCCCCCCAGGAGGGGACACUCGGGGCUCCCCGGAUCCCGGGGGGUGCCGAGGGGUGGGAUCCCAGCGUCCUCGGGCCCGGGGAUCCGGCGGGGACGGACGGAGAGUCCGGGGAUCCUCGGGAAUCCAGUCCCAGCCGAGCGGCCUCGGGAACGGGAGCAGGAUUGGGGUCUGGUGGAGCCAGGAGGGAUCUGGUGGAGCCAGGAGGGAUCUGGUGGAGCCAGGAGGGAUCUGGUGGAGCCAGGAGGGAUCUGGUGGACUUGGAUGGGAUCUGGUGGACUUGGAUGGGAUCUGGUGGAGCCAGGUGGGAUCUGGAGGAUCCAGGAGGGACCUGGUGGAGCCAGGAGGGACCUGGAGCACCCGUGUGAGAUCUGGUGGAGCCAGGAGGGAUCUGGAGGAUCCAGGAGGGAUCUGGUUGAGUUGGAUGGGAUCUGGUGGAUCCAUGUGAGAUCGGGUGGAGCCAGGAAGGGUCUGGAGAAUCCCAGUGGGAUUUGGAAAAUCCAGGAGGGAUCUGGUGGAGCCAGAAGAGAUCUGGAGGAUCUAGGUGGGAUCUGGAGUAUCUGUGUGGGGUCUGCAGGAUCCAGGAGCGAUCUGCAAGAUCCGGGUUGGGUCUGGAGGACCCAGGAGGGAUCUGACAGAAACAGGUGGGGUCUGGAGGAUCCAGGAGGGAUCUGAUGGAUCCAGGUGGGGUCUGGAGGAUCCAGGAGGGAUCUGGUGCCAAGGAGGAGCCUUGGAAGCUUCAGGAAGAGGAGCUCGGGGAGGGUCCCAGGGCGGGGCCUCGGUGCCGGGCUGGAGGAGCGGCGUGACCAGCCUGGGGCUGGGAUCGGGCUGGGAUCUGAUGGAGAUCUGGCUGGGAUCCUGGCUGGGAUCUGUGCUGGGUCCUGGUGGGAUCCUGGCUGAGAUCUGAUGGAGAUGUGGCUGGGAUCUGGCUGGAAUCCUGGCUGAGAUCUGGCUGGGAUCUGAUGGAGAUCUGGCAGGGAUCUGGCUGGAAUCGGGCUGGAAUCCUUGGUGGGAUCCUGGCUGGGAUCUGAUGGAGAUCUGGCUGGGAUCGGUCUGGAAUCCUGGCUGGGAUCGGUCUGGAAUCCUUGGUGAGAUCCUGGCUGGGAUCCUGGCUGGGAUCCGAGUUAGAUCUGGGCCGGAUCCUGGCUGGGCUCUGGGCCAGAUCCCAUCUGGAUCCCGGCAGAUCCCCUCAGGCACUGCAGCUCUGCUGGCUGGGAUCUGGGCUGGAAUCCGGCCUCGAGCCCGGCUGGAUUGGGGCUGGAUUGGGGCUGGAAUCCCGGCCGGAUCCCAGUGGAUCCCUCGGGCGGAUCCCUCAGUUGCUGCAGCACUGGCCCCGGCCCUGCGGGCUCUGCUCGUGCAGAUCCACGCCCCGGCCCCGGCCGCCGGCGCCGCUCGUGCUCUGGGGCUCGUUCUUUGGCAGCUUCUUGGCUGGAGCAAGAGGGGCCGGGGUCAUUUGGGGUCAUUUGGGGAGAUUUAGGAUGAUUUGGGAUCAUUUGGGAUCAUUUGGGGUUAUUGGGAUGAUCUGGGAUGAUUCAAGGAUGAUUUGGGAUCAUUUGGGAUGAUUCAGAGAUGGUUUGGGAUCAUUUGGGAUUAUCUGGGAUUCUUGGGAUGAUUUCGGAUCAUUUGGGGAGAUUUAGGAUCAUUUGGGACCAUUUGGGAUGAUUUGGGAUGAUUUGAGAUCAUCUGGGAUGAUUCAGAGAUGGUUUGGGACCAUUUGGGAUCAUUUGGGAUUCUUGGGAUCAUUUGGGAAGAUUUCGGAUCAUUUGGGAUCAUUUGGGAUGAUUCAGAGAUGGUUUGGGAUCAUUUGGGAUUAUCUGGGAUUCUUAGGAUGAUUUCGGAUCAUUUGGCAUCAUUUGGGGAGAUUUCGGAUCAUUUAGGGCCAUUUGGGAUGAUCUGGGAUGAUUCAAGGAUGAUUUGGGAUCAUUUGGGAUGAUUCAGAGAUGGUUUGGGAUCAUUUGAGAUUAUCUGGGAUUCUUGGGAUGAUUUCAGAUCAUUUGGGGUGAUUUGGGAUCAUUUGGGGUUAUUUGGGACGAUUCAGGGAUGAUUUAGGAUGAUUUGGGAUCAUUUGGGAUCAUCUGGAAUUCUUGGGAUGAUUUCGGAUCAUUUAGCAUCAUUUCGGGAGAUUUAGGAUCAUUUGGGACCAUUUGGGAUGAUUCAAGAAUGAUUUGGGAUCAUUUGGGAUGAUUCAGAGAUGGUUUGGGAUGAUUUGGGAUUAUCUGGGAUUCUUGGGAUGAUUUCGGAUCAUUUGGGAUGAUUUGGGGUUAUUUGGGAUGAUUCGGGGAUGAUUCGGGGAUGAUUCGUGGUUAUUGGGAUGAUUUCGGGUUAUUUGGGAUGAUUUGGGGUUUUUGGGAUGAUUUGGGAUCACUUGGGAUUUGGGAAUGAGGCCCCAGCCCAGAAUCCCUGGAUGGGGCUGGAACAGACCCCCCAGACCCC
rnacentral:lncRNA from 13 species